GGCAGUUCUGGACUGCACCUUCCCUCCUAGCAGGCGCCCUGUGCUUAUGUCAUCUGUGUCUUCCAACUUAAAGGAAAAAUGAGUCAACAGCAAAUCUGGAGACUGUACCAAUCAGAAUUCUUGGCUGCAAACAAACAAACAGCAGCACCAACAAAGCAACAUGAUACAGCAAAGGUAUAAUGCUUUUUAGAAGCCCAUGAUCAGUUACUGAUACUAGAAAAUGGAGUGUUGACUGUAGCCGGAUGGCCACUGAUGAGAACUCCGUGUUGUUGAAACCGCGGAUAAUCUUCAUUCCCUCUAUGAUAAACAUUUGGUUCAUGAAUCCGCUGGCAUUGCUGAGAAAGGAGGUUAACCUAUAUUUACUGAGUGGAUCACCUUAUCUGUUCAACAUACCCUUUCCCCAAACUCCCUCCAUAAUCUCCAA